GUCCAGUCUGCUUUUUUGACUUUUCAGGAGGAGUCCAUGCAGAAUUCUUCUUGUAGGGUUGGUAGGAAGCUUUCUUGAGUUAGUGUGCUGUUCAGUGGUGUGUUGGAAAUAUUCCUUGAGUUGGAGACGUUGAAAGUAGGAUUCUGGAUCACCACAGAACUGUAUCAUGUUUGUGGGAGUGGUAGGGAAGAAGGAGAGGCCUCGAGAUAGGACAAACUCUUCUGCCGGGUAAGAGUAUCUGCACAAGUUUUUUCAGGAAGUUGAUGGAUUUCUACUUCAUACGGCUAAAUUCAGUGCCUUGCAUGAUAGACAGAUAAGA